CCUACGGGAGGCAGCAGUAGGGAAUUUUCGGCAAUGGGGGGAACCCUGACCGAGCAACGCCGCGUGAACGAAGAAGUUAUUCGUAAUGUAAAGUUCUUUUAACAGGGAAGAAAGAGAAAUUUGACGUUACCUGAAGAAUAAGCUCCGGCUAACUACGUGCCAGCAGCCGCGGUAAUCAGUGGGGAUCGAGCGGUAUCCGGAAUUAUUGGGCGAAAAGGGUGCGUAGAUGGCAUAGUAAGUCUUUUGUAAAAAUGCUGGGCUCAACCCAGUAGGGCAAAAGAUACUGCAAGGCUAGAGUAUGACAGAGGCAAGUGGAACUACAUGUGUAGCGGUAAAAUGCGUAAAUAUAGGUAAGAACACCAGUGGCGAAGGCGGCAUGCUGGGUCCAUACUGACAUUGAGGCACGAAAGCGUGGGGAGCGAACAGGAUUAGAUACCCUGGUAGUC
rnacentral:rRNA from 1 species